rnacentral:rRNA from 1 species
UACGAAGGGGGCGAGCGUUGUUCGGAUUUACUGGGCGUAAAGGGCGCGCAGGCGGUCUUGAAAGUCAGGCGUGAAAGCCCCGGGCUUAACCUGGGAAUUGCGCUUGAUACUCUGAGACUGGAGUACGGGAGAGGAGAGUGGAAUUCCCAGUGUAGAGGUGAAAUUCGUAGAUAUUGGGAGGAACACCAGUGGCGAAGGCGGCUCUCUGGGACGGUACUGACGCUGAGACGCGAAAGCGUGGGGAGCGAACAGG